UGCUUAACACAUGCAAGUCGAACGAACCUUCGGGUUAGUGGCGGACGGGUGAGUAACGCGUGAGAAUCUGCCCUCAGGAGGGGGAUAACGGUUGGAAACGACCGCUAAUACCCCAUAUGCCUACUGGUGAAAUGAAUUUCGCCUGAGGAUGAGCUCGCGUCUGAUUAGCUAGUUGGUGAGGUAAUGGCUCACCAAGGCUUCGAUCAGUAGCUGGUCUGAGAGGAUGAUCAGCCACACUGGGACUGAGACACGGCCCAGACUCCUACGGGAGGCAGCAGUGGGGAAUUUUCCGCAAUGGGCGAAAGCCUGACGGAGCAACGCCGCGUGAGGGACGAAGGCCUCUGGGCUGUAAACCUCUUUUCUCAAGGAAGAAGAUAUGACGGUACUGAGGAAUAAGCCACGGCUAAUUCCG
rnacentral:rRNA from 1 species